rnacentral:rRNA from 1 species
GACGAACGCUGGCGGCGUGCUUAACACAUGCAAUUCGAACGGAAAGGCCCUGCUUUUGUGGGGUGCUCGAGUGGCGAACGGGUGAGUAACACGUGAGUAACCUACCCUUGACUUUGGGAUAACUUCAGGAAACUGGGGCUAAUACCGGAUAGGAGCUCCUGCUGCAUGGUGGGGGUUGGAAAGUUUCGGCGGUUGGGGAUGGACUCGCGGCUUAUCAGCUUGUUGGUGGGGUAGUGGCUUACCAAGGCUUUGACGGGUAGCCGGCCUGAGAGGGUGACCGGCCACAUUGGGACUGAGAUACGGCCCAGACUCCUACGGGAGGCAGCAGUGGGGAAUAUUGCACAAUGGGCGGAAGCCUGAUGCAGCAACGCCGCGUGCGGGAUGACGGCCUUCGGGUUGUAAACCGCUUUCGCCUGUGACGAAGCGUGAGUGACGGUAAUGGGUAAAGAAGCACCGGCUAACUACGUG